AACAAAGUAUACUUUUGGUAUAUUAUUAACACAAUAUAAAUAUAUUAAGAAUACAUUUCAAAAUAUACUUAAAAUACAAUGAAGAUGUAAUUUCAGUUAACUAUUGGCAUUCAUAUGAGCACAUAGACAGGACUUACACUACCGUUCAAAAGUUUGGGAUCACCCAGACAAUUUCGUGUUUUCCAUGAAAACUCACUAUUAUUUAUCAAAUGAGUUGCAAAAUGUAUAGAAAAUAUAGUCAAGACAUUGACAAGGUUAGAAAUAAUGAUUUGUAUUUGAAGUAUUCAUUUUUUUCUUCAAACUUUGCGUUCGUCAAAGAAUGCUCCUUUUGCAGCAAUUACAGCAUUGCAGACCUUUGGCAUUCUAGCUGUUAAUUUGUUGAGGUAAUCUGUUGAAAUGUCACCCCACGCUUCCUGAAUAGGCCGCAAGGUGAACAUCGAAAAGUCCUUUGGAAAAUGAAUCCCGCUCCACAGUCGCGCAUCUACACAAUAUUUAGUUCAUAAAAAAGAAAGAGUCGUGCUUAGCUACCAAAAAAAAGCUCGUCGCUGAAUUUGCCGUCGAUUCUCGAUGCGACUAUGUUUUAUGCCGAACUAGUUUCUUCAGAGCGUAAUAUGAUCUUGGUCACGAGUGGUGGCACGGUUCGACACGUGAUCAUGCUACACCAAUGAGGUAGCUGCUUUUUGUCAACAGAAUGGCAAGAUGGCGUCCUCGAGCAGUUCGGAAGACGAAGAAAAUACACCGGAAUAUAUUAAUAAAUAAAUAAACAAACAUUGUUUUAUGCAUAUUACUUCAGUCAAGCACGAGGAGGUACAUUAUUUCACCACUACACGAUGGAAUACAUACAGGACAAGCCUACAAACGUGGCUCGGGUUGGACGGUGAGUCUCGGGACGUGGCUGAGAACUUCAAACACUGUGUUGAUGUGGAGUUUGACAAUAUUCCCGAGGAUGCUGGCUUCCAUCACACGUGCUACUGUAGAUUUACGGACAAAAAAUCCAUGGCAAGGGUGGAAAGACGUCUCGCACGUAAGAGACAAGAAGCGACGGAAGACCACGAGGCCAUUCCAUCGACUUCUAGCGGCACGAGUCCAACAAAGAAACUGCGAUCCAGGUCAGGGCUGCCGAUCGCAGGCUCUGGCCCCGUUCUUCCUGCCCUGUGCAUAAUUUGCCAAAAAAAGGAGAAGUUCGUCAACCGAGCAGGCAAACGACAAAGGGAUCCUCUGUCAAAGGCUGAAACAUUAACAGCAGGUAAACACACACACACACACACACACACUGUGGUUGAGUGACUGAAAGGUACAAUUAUGUGUGAGAUAUGUCAACAAACUCAUUGAGCUAUCCUUUUUGUUUUGUUAAGGCCAAUUGCAGAAAGCUGCGAGUUGAAGGAGGACCAAAGUAUUCUUUUGCAUAUAAAAGACAAAGACUGUGUGGCUCUGGAGGUGCAGUACCACAAAGGCUGUUAUAAUCAGUCCACCAGGUUUUUGAUGAGGCCUGAAAAACCAGAGAAAGACCAGAAUGAGCCCACGUUUGAUGUCAGCGAUAAGAUAUUCUGUGAAAGGAUCAUUCGCCAAAGGCUGCUUGUCAACCAAGAGGUGCUGAGAAUGGGCCAGCUGAGGAAGGCCUUCAUUGAACUGGUGAAAGCAAAUGAAGGUCUUGAUGCUUCAAACUACAGGGAACUGCAAUGCAUUUUUCUCUCACGUCUUAUUAUUUGUCAUGUGCAAGUCCAGCUUUACACAACAUGUGUGUGACAGGCCUGAGAAACUGUUUUUAAUUCUUGCUGUUUGCACAAACAUGUACCAGUUGGCAACAAGGAGAAGUGUGUGUGUGCGUGCGUGAUGUUGUGUGCCUUUCUUGGGCAUCUUUGGUGUUAAAUGUGCUGUAUGGCAGAUAGGUUCUAGCCUGUAAUGUCUUGUACCACCUGCACCACUCUCUGCUUUUCAUGAUACUCCUGUGACUUAAUUGUCACUGUUUUGUUGUGUUGCAGACAGGAUAUGUUGAAGAAGAGGCUGGCUCGUGAUUUCCCCCAGCUGGUGUUUCACACCCCCACCAAGCGCAACAUCUGCGAGCUGGUUUUUGCAGAGACCCUGUCAACCGGUACACUCGUGGACAUGCUACCUUACCCAUCAGGUGCAGAAACCACACAGUCUAGUGAGUUGAGCCAGACAGACAGCGAGACUGAAAAAGGGACAACAGAGUGCCAAACAACACAAGAGGAUGCAAGGACACUAUAUACGUUGUUAUAUGAUCAGCCAGCUGCCGAUAAUGUAAAUGAAGCUAGGUACAAGGCUUUCUGUAUGGCAUCAUCAGCCUUGCCAGAAAUAUGCAUUCCCCCAACGACUGAUGCCCUCCAACAGCACUGCAAAAGGGCAAACUACCAGGCUGCAAUAAUGAGGUCCUGUCGCAAACAAAAAAUAAGUGCUCCAUCACCUGCUGGAUAUGGUUGGCAAAUAGAGGAUGGGACCUUGCACAUCACCUGGAUGACCAGAAAUCCGGCCCCUGACAGUGUUUUGCAUGUCAUACACUGCGGCUGCAAAGGUGCCUGUGAGACAGGAAGAUGUUCCUGUUUUUCUGCAGGAUUGUGUUGCACAGACUUAUGUUGUUGCUGUAAUUGUGCCAACACCAAAGACACCGAGCAACUGGAAGACAACUGUCCUGACACUGACAGUGAGGACUGAGCGUCCUUAAUAUGUUAUUUCUUUUGUAGUUUUGUACAGUUUUAUAUAUGUCAUAUUUUUCAUAAAGAUUGUUUCUAUUGUU